rnacentral:rRNA from 1 species
UGGGGAAUAUUGGACAAUGGGCGCAAGCCUGAUCCAGCCAUGCCGCGUGGAUGAAGAAGGCCCUAGGGUUGUAAAGUCCUUUCACCGCCGAGGAUAAUGACGGUAGGCGGAGAAGAAGCCCCGGCUAAUUUCGUGCCAGCAGCCGCGGUAAUACGAAAGGGGCUAGCGUUGUUCGGAAUUACUGGGCGUAAAGCGCGCGUAGGCGGCCUUGUAAGUUGGGGGUGAAAUCCCGGAGCUCAACUCCGGAACUGCCUCCAAAACUACAAAGCUUGAGGAUGUGAGAGGAUAGUGGAAUUCCGAGUGUAGAGGUGAAAUUCGUAGAUAUUCGGAAGAACACCAGUGGCGAAGGCGACUGUCUGGCACAUUUCUGACGCUGAGGUGCGAAAGCGUGGGGAGCAAACAGGAUUAGAUACCCGCGUAGUCC